GCAGUCGUGGCCUACUGGUUAGGGCUUGGGGCUUGGAACUGAAGGGUUGUUGGUUCAAUCUCCAACCAGUGGGA
rnacentral:tRNA from 1 species